UUUUUGGUCGUAUAUUGGUAUCACGUUGGCGUCGUCGUCGUCGUCGUCGUCGUCGUCGUCCGAAUACUUUUGGUUUUCGCACUAUAACUUUAGUUUAAGUAAAUAGAAAUGUAUGAAAUUUAAACACAAGGUUAAUGACCAUAAAAGAAAGGUUGGGAUUGAUUUUGGAAGUUUUGGUCCCAACAGUUUAGGAAUUAGGGGCCAAAAAGGGCCC
rnacentral:lncRNA from 1 species